UGGUUAAUAUUCCAGCACCUUCUAUGCUUAAGGCAUGAUAAGACGCGGCAAUAAAGGGAGCAGACCUUAUUGACUUGGCAGGAAGGGCUUCGGCCAGACCGUGCUCCUAAUUGCGCCGCCUAGAAAACCUUCAUGUUGUUCCCAUAAGAGCCCGUACCGCAAACCGACACAGGUGGGUGGGUAGAAUAUACCAAGGCGUAAGAGUGAACCCUCGUUAAGGAACUCUGCAAUCUAGUCCCGUAACUUCGGAAGAUGGGAUGCCCAUCGCAAGAUGGGCCGCAGUGAAAGGGGUCAGCCGACUGUUUAUCAAAAACACAGCAUUGUGCUAAGACGAAAGUCCAAGUAUACGAUGUGACACGUGACCAAUGCGGAAAGAUUAAGGCAAGGGGUUAGCCGCAAGGCGAAGCUCUGAACCCAAGUCCCCGUGAAUGUCGGCCGUAACUAUAACGGUCCUAAGGUAGCGAAAUUCCUUGUCGGGUAAGUUCCGACCUGCACGAAUCGUGUAACGAGUUGACCGCUGUCUCAACGAGGCGCUCAGUGAAUUUGUAGUGGCGGUGUAGAUGCCGCCUACCCGCGGAAGGACGGAAAGACCCUAUGCACCUUAACUGUAAGCUGUCACUGAUUCGCUGAUUUCAAUGCUCAGAGUAAGUGGGAGGCUUUGAAGCUUGGCUUUCGGGCCAGGCAGAGCCAAAAGUGAGACACCACCCUUUGGUAUUGGCGAAUCUAAUCGUGUUUCUCUAACAGAUCACGAGACCAUGUCAGCCGGUCAGUUUUACUGGGGCGGUAUCCUCCCAAAGAGUAACGGAGGAGCGCGAAGGUUGGCUCAGCGCGGUUGGUAAUCGCGUGUUGAGUGCAUUGGCAUAAGCCAGCCUAACUGUGAGACCUACAAGUCGAGCAGAUACGAAAGUAGGCCAAAGUGAUCCGGCGGUUUAAUGUGGAAUUGCCGUCGCUUAACGGACAAAAGGUACGCUAGGGAUAACAGGCUGAUUUGACCCAAGAGUUCAUAUCGACGGUCAAGUUUGGCACCUCGAUGUCGGCUCGUCGCAUCCUGGGGCUGGAGAAGGUCCCAAGGGUCCGGCUGUUCGCCGGUUAAAGCGGCACGCGAGCUGGGUUCAGAACGUCGCGAGACAGUUCGGUCCUCUAUCCUCCGUGGGCGUUGGAGAAUUGAGGGGUUUACUUCCUAGUACGAGAGGACCGGAAGUAACGCACCUCUGGUGUUCCAGUUGUCACGUCAGUGGCACCGCUGGGCAGCUACGUGCGGAAGGGAUAAGCGCUGAAAGCAUCUAAGUGCCAAGCCCAUCCCAAGAUGAGUUCUCCCUGAAGGAUCGUGGAAGACUACCACGUUGAUAGGGUGCGGGUGUAAGCAGAGUAAUCUGUUCAGCUUAGCACUACUAAUCAUCC
rnacentral:rRNA from 1 species